UUUUCUAACUUCCAACACUAAAGACAAAUUUAUUUGGAAUUCGUCCAACUCCUUAUCACAAUAUACUAUUAACCUCAAAAAUAAUAAUUACUUAUCUCCAAAAUAGAAUCACAACGCUUUGAAAGUCUCAUUUCAUGCGUAUAUUCUCCUGUGCUUCAUAAGUACUCCCAAGUUGGUUACUUCUCUUCCAAUCAUAAUCAAAAUAAGCUUUAUUCGUUAAGAACAUCUCUUCCAAUCUCAUAGAUGCAAAACAUAAUUGGUUUGCUAGUAACAAAAUCUAAAACCCUCUAUUUCACUUUACAUAGCUCUUCGACAAAUUGUACAUUUAAUCUCAAACUUAUCACUGUCUGAGUGACUUCAAAAAUCUCAAUAAUUGAUCGGGCUCUCCU
rnacentral:lncRNA from 1 species